rnacentral:tRNA from 1 species
UUUAUCUAGUUUAAAAAAAAUAAUAAUUUGUCAAGUUAUCGAUGCUUUAUUGCGAUUAAC